rnacentral:rRNA from 1 species
UACGUAGGGUGCAAGCGUUAAUCGGAAUUACUGGGCGUAAAGCGUGCGCAGGCGGCUUUGCAAGACAGAUGUGAAAUCCCCGGGCUCAACCUGGGAACUGCAUUUGUGACUGCAUGGCUGGAGUGCGGCAGAGGGGGAUGGAAUUCCGCGUGUAGCAGUGAAAUGCGUAGAUAUGCGGAGGAACACCGAUGGCGAAAGCAAACCCCUGGGCCUGCACUGACGCUCAUGCACGAAAGCGUGGGGAGCAAACAGG